ACGAACUCUGGUAUUGAUUGGUGCUUGCAUCAUGAUUUACAUUUGAGUGAGUGGCGAACUGGUGAGUAACACGUGGGAAACCUGCCCAGAAGCGGGGGAUAACACCUGGAAACAGAUGCUAAUACCGCAUAACAACUUGGACCGCAUGGUCCGAGCUUGAAAGAUGGCUUCGGCUAUCACUUUUGGAUGGUCCCGCGGCGUAUUAGCUAGAUGGUGGGGUAACGGCUCACCAUGGCAAUGAUACGUAGCCGACCUGAGAGGGUAAUCGGCCACAUUGGGACUGAGACACGGCCCAAACUCCUACGGGAGGCAGCAGUAGGGAAUCUUCCACAAUGGACGAAAGUCUGAUGGAGCAACGCCGCGUGAGUGAAGAAGGGUUUCGGCUCGUAAAACUCUGUUGUUAAAGAAGAACAUAUCUGAGAGUAACUGUUCAGGUAUUGACGGUAUUUAACCAGAAAGCCACGGCUAACUACGUGCCAGCAGCCGCGGUAAUACGUAGGUGGCAAGCGUUGUCCGGAUUUAUUGGGCGUAAAGCGAGCGCAGGCGGUUUUUUAAGUCUGAUGUGAAAGCCUUCGGCUCAACCGAAGAAGUGCAUCGGAAACUGGGAAACUUGAGUGCAGAAGAGGACAGUGGAACUCCAUGUGUAGCGGUGAAAUGCGUAGAUAUAUGGAAGAACACCAGUGGCGAAGGCGGCUGUCUGGUCUGUAACUGACGCUGAGGCUCGAAAGUAUGGGUAGCAAACAGGAUUAGAUACCCUGGUAGUCCAUACCGUAAACGAUGAAUGCUAAGUGUUGGAGGGUUUCCGCCCUUCAGUGCUGCAGCUAACGCAUUAAGCAUUCCGCCUGGGGAGUACGGCCGCAAGGCUGAAACUCAAAGGAAUUGACGGGGGCCCGCACAAGCGGUGGAGCAUGUGGUUUAAUUCGAAGCUACGCGAAGAACCUUACCAGGUCUUGACAUACUAUGCAAAUCUA
rnacentral:rRNA from 2 species